GAUGACUGUAGCACUGAGCGGAGCGUUCUCAAUAAAGAAUGCUGCUGAAGAUUACCCAAGAGUCUCCUGGUCUUCGCUUCUGAGUUUCCAACAGUUUUGGUGCCGUGACCCGGAUAGAGCUUCUCACCUGAAUCCAGAUUGACUUCGUUCCAGACUGAAUCUUUCUGUACAACCAAGGGUUGGUAUGUGUGCAUGAGAUGUCAUCUCCAUAAGCAGCACCCUGGUGUAAAGCAUCACCUCAGACAUCCAUGAACAAGCUUCAUGAGGACCAAGAAUCAUCUGCAUGAAUCUACAUGGGAAAUGGACUACAGAAAACAGACUUCACAGGUCACCGUAGCCACCAGAUCCAGUCUGUAUCCAGAUCAGAUGGUCACUGUAGUCACCCGGAUCCAGUCUGUAUCCAGCCCAGAUGGUGGAUCAGCACCUAGAAAGGACCUCUACAGCCCUGAAAGACAUUGGUGACCAGGAAGACUAGAUGAGCCCCAGAUACCCUGUAAAGACCUUGUAUCAGACGACCACCAGGACAAGACCACAGGAAACAGAUGAUUCUUCUGCACAAUCUGACUUUGCUGCAGCCUGGAAUUGAACUGCUGGUUUUGUCUGGCCAGAGGAGAACUGGCCCCCCA
ensembl:lncRNA